rnacentral:rRNA from 1 species
GCAAGUCGAACGAAGCUAAGGGAGCUGCUCCCAAAGCUUAGUGGCGGACGGGUGAGUAACGCGUGGGUAACCUGCCCUAUAGAAGGGGGGAUAACGUUCGGAAACGAACGCUAAUACCGCAUAAACCAUAAGGAGCUGCAUGGCUCUGAUGGCAAAGAUUUAUCGCUAUAGGAUGGACCUGCGUUGGAUUAGCUAGUUGGUGAGAUAACAGCUCACCAAGGCGACGAUCCAUAGCCGGCCUGAGAGGGUGAACGGCCACAUUGGGACUGAGACACGGCCCAAACUCCUACGGGAGGCAGCAGUGGGGAAUAUUGCACAAUGGGCGCAAGCCUGAUGCAGCGACGCCGCGUGAAGGAAGAAGGUCUUCGGAUUGUAAACUUCUAUCAGCAGGGAAGAAUAAAUGACGGUACCUGACUAAGAAGCCCCGGCUAACUACGUGCCAGCAGCCGC